rnacentral:rRNA from 1 species
AUACGAAGGGGGCUAGCGUUGCUCGGAAUCACUGGGCGUAAAGCGCACGUAGGCGGGUCGUUAAGUCGGGGGUGAAAUCCUGGAGCUCAACUCCAGAACUGCCUUCGAUACUGGCGACCUUGAGUCCGGGAGAGGUGAGUGGAACUCCGAGUGUAGAGGUGAAAUUCGUAGAUAUUCGGAAGAACACCAGUGGCGAAGGCGGCUCACUGGCCCGGUACUGACGCUGAGGUGCGAAAGCGUGGGGAGCAAACA